GGGGUAUUAUCCAUCAGCUGAGGAUAUGGUGGGAGAUUCAUCCACCCCUGGGGGUCCUAAUGAUCUGCUAGACAAAAAAAUGUGUGGCAGUCAAGUCAAGGGACUUCUUCCAUGCUGGCUUUGCUGAUUACCAGAAAUCACCCAGACAGAGGUAGAUGUUCUAUGGAGUUCUAGAAACCAGCAGGCUUCCACACGGCAUGACUUCUCUGGCUGUGAAUCCAGGAAGAAGUUGGAGCUGGAGGUUCACUAUACAAAGGCCACUGCUCCUUCCGAGAGCCGUUCUGGAAACUCCCCACCUCUGGCUUCCUCCAGUCCGCCUGCUUCUAUGACUUUUCCCUGCCCAUGAAGAAAGCUACACCUCCAGGUUAUGAGGACAGGGAGCCGAAGUUCCCGUAGCAGUUUUAGGGGAUUUUUACUGAUAAGAUAAGGAGCGACCUUGACACCAAAGGUGUGCUGGCGGCAGUUUUCCCAGGACUGAAUCAAACUUCGAGGU